CCUGGUGAUUUUGCAGAAUUAAUGAUGCUUCUUGCACCACAGAUCCAAGAGCAGCAUCUCGUUCCAUGAGUUCUGAACCCUUCUACGGCCUCCAGAUACCUUGUAUUGCUGGUGCAGACGGGAAAGCAUAUUAAAACUAACAUGUGAUUACUUGCAGUAGUACCUCAAGCGGUGGGCUUUUCCAAAAAGUAUUACCAUGACAGCAAUCUCCCGAUCUCCGAGGGACGUCUCCUUCGAAUCCACAAAACGAGAAUUUAGUUUUGGAGGAACAUGUUCCGAUUCAAACUUAAUAUUCUCCAUUAGCAAAGAAGAAGAGUAUUCUGACAGGACAAAAGCCCUCUUUUCUUUCAAUGUGGAGAAGAAGAAGAAGAGGAGAGAGAGAGAAAGUAAAGAGACGAUGCAGU